AUAGUUACCUGGCAGGGGUGAUUCCAUGAUCACGAAGGUGGUUUCCCCAGGGCGAGGCUUAUCCGUUGCACUCCGAAUGGGCUGACCGUUGCGAUUUCCCCAAAUGCGGGAAAUUUGACUGCAUAAUUUGUGGUAGUGGGGGACUGCGUUCGCGCUCUCCCCUG
rnacentral:snRNA from 1 species